rnacentral:lncRNA from 1 species
AAGAACACAGUGUUCUGGCCCCUUGGCUGUCUGUAGAAAUGGCGGUAGUAGGAAAGCAAGUCCAAAGGGAGAUUAUUACGUUUUUAAGAGUUAUUUAUCAGAGUUUUCAAUUUCACUUCAUUUUUAAAUUUUAAUUUUCAAUAAAAUUCUAUGUUCAAUUAUAUAUGGUUUAGAAAUUAAAGCUAUUUUUGACUGUAGGGUCUCGUUUGCCAUGGGGUUCCCCCUAACUAUCCACAUCUUAUAUGAGCGUGGUACUUUUGUUACAAAUCAUGACGAAAUGCUGAUAUGCCACUAUGAAUUGAAGCCACAGUCCAUAUUUGGGUUCCUUCUGCUGUUUGUGGGGAGGAUGUCACGUACCCAUCCUUGUAGUGUCACACAGAACACGUUCACAUCUUUAAGUAUUUAUUCCAGCUCUCCAAAUCACUCAGCCGCUGCCAGCCACUCAUCAUAUUUGCCAUCACUAUAGCUUUCUUUUCAGCAUAUGGCAUGGUUAGAACCAGAGUGCCUAGCCAUUUUAUAAAUGCUUCUUCACACAGUAAUAUGCAGUUAGAGGCCAUGCAUAUUGUUUUGUUGAUUGGUAGCUCAUUAAAAUGAAUAGUGUUUCACUCUAUAAGUGUUUCAUAAAUUAUCUAUUUGUUUACUCCAAAGUCACUUUAAGUUUAACCAGUGGCAAUGGAUAUUCCUUUUUUUUUUAAGUUGCAUUUAUUUUUAUAUUUAUAAGAGUUUUUAUCUUUUACUAAAUAUGUUUAAAUAUACCACAUACAUACCUGGUUCUUGUGGACGUCAUAAGAGGACAUCAGAUUUCUGGAACUGGAGUUACAGACAAGUAGGAGUCACUAUAUGUGAGCUAGAAGCCAAACUCAGCUCCUAUGCAAGUAUAGCAAACACUGUUAACCCCUGAGUCAAAUCUCCAGCCCAUUGCUAUAUACAUUCUUCCACAUGUUUUCAGAUGAACAUAAGGUUUCAGUUCAUUUAGUGCUGUAUUAGACUUUGUCACUGUCACAAAAAAAUUAAAUGAAAAGAUCAAAGACAGACUGUUUAUUUUAACUCACAGUUUCAGGGCUUUGGUCCAAGGUUGACUGCUGUAUUGACCAUGAAACAGGAACAUCACAGUAGAAGGGCAUGGCGGAUGAAAGCUGUUCACCUUUUAGAAGUGUGGAAGCAGACAGGACUUACAAGCAAGGGAAAAAGCUCAGCCCAGUGACCUCUUUCUUUCAGCAAGUCCUCACCUCCUACAGUCUCCAGUUCUUCCAACUCUCCCGAUAAUGGUACCCACUGAGACUAAGCCUUCGGGGCAGGGAUCUCUAGGGGUUCUUCUUGACCCAAAUCAUAACAGGUACCGACUUUCUUUUAACUAUUACCGAAAUGAGGUAGCUCUUCAGUGUAUGUGUUAGGAUCAAAAACUAAACAACACCCCCUCCCGUGAAAACCCCACCAUUGUUGUUGAAUGGCAGAUUAGUGACCAUUGAAUGCCUAGAGAUGUGUUAGGAGACUAUAGGGAUACCCUGGAAGGGCAUUGAAAAAAAAAUGACCUUACAUUAUUUCUUUGUAUGUAUUGUAUGUAUGCAUGUACAUGUUUGUGUGCACAUCUCUCAUGGCACACGUGUGGAAGACAGAGAGUAGGUUGUAGAAGUUAGAACUCUCUUGUCAGGUUUGGCCCAAUAUGCAGAGUCAUCUCACCAGCCAUGGGAAGGUAUUUUACUAACAUUCAUAGUCAGAGAAGCAGGAACUAAAUGCUUAAGUCCUUAUGCAAGCCUAUUUAAUUCAAUGGUUAUAAAUCCUUUUUUUUUUUUUUUUAAAAAAAGGAUUUAUUUAUGUGGUAUGUGUAUUUGUGUGUGUGUGGGGGGGUGUUUGCCAAACGUGUGCAGGUGCCCACGAGGCCAGAAGAGAGUCAGAUCCCCUGGGGCUGGAAUUAUCAGAGGUUGUGAGCCACCUGGUAGGUAUGCUAGGAACCUAAGCAGGGUCUCUGGAAGAGCGGCAAGCGUUUCUACACCACUGAGUUCUUUCUAGCCCUCUAUAAACACUUUAAAUGCCUUGAUAAGUUUAAUAUGCUUGGUUCUCUUUAAGCAUUCAAAUGUUGUGAUUUUACAACCAGCACUUCUUUGAGUACUUAACCUCUUCUUAUAAACCUAAUUAGACACACGUUUGAAAUGUAGCUCAUCUAAAGCACUUCAAUGUUGUGGGAAACUGUUAAAAUUCUUUCAUAUGCUUCCAUUAAUCUGAAGUUUAACAUAAAUUAAAAUUACAAGCAUAGUUUGUUGACAUGUGAAACUUAUAAGCAUAAUAAACACAACAUAAACUAACUCCACAAGUCUGUCCAAGUGAUUAUGUGCUGAUUAAAUCCACCAUCCAAGGUUUAAAAUAUCAUGGUUUUGAUUUGUAAUCAUGAUAUUGCUGCUUAAAACUAAAUAUUCACAGUGUUCUUGUACCCCUGGUGAUCUAGAGUGACUGCUACCAGUAUUGGUAGCCUUGUUUUAUGAAGUGAGGCAGGGGACUUACAUAGCCAGAAGUCAGGAUGAGGUGAUAGUUGCCAUUUGCGUCUAGUGCCACGCUCUCCCUGUGGUUGGUAAGGGAUCAUUUGAUGUAGCCCUUGUCGCUAAGGGCUUGCUUCUGCUCUGAACCCUCUCCUCUUCUGUUCAGGUCAGGAGUGUUUAGUUUACUUCCUUUCAAACAGUCUUUCCACCUUUUCAUUGAAAGAUAAUACUCUUUUGCUUCUAUGUUUCUUCCUAUCGAUGAGGUCUGAACUCUGUUUUCCAUGCUAACAUGGGCUUCUCUUUGGCUUUAUAUCCCAUCAGUCUAUGCCUUUAGCCAGACUGUUCUCCGUAUUGUUUGUGUUUAUUCAGCUCAGCUGAGGCUCUGCCUUAGGACCUUCACGUGUCUGUCGCCCCAUCCUCUCCUUUCUGACAUCACAUAUUAGAAUGUCCGUCUCUCACAUGUCAGUCACAGCUCUCUCUGCUCAUGGUUCGCCUGCCUCUUCAAAGGUUCUCUAAUCCUCCUUUCUGAUUUGUGCUCCCUCUUGUCACCCUCCCUCUUUCUGACCUACUCCCAGAUGUUCUGUGGUCUCGUCACUAGAAAAUAUCGUCCCUACUGAUUACUGGCCUUCUUGCAAAUAAUUUAUUUAUCAUACAAUUGUAUUGCAGUGACCUCAGCUUCCUGAUAUUUGCUGGCACUAAUGUGUUGGGCAGCAUAUGAGGGAGAUGUACACCUUGAGUGAAGAAAGAAUGGCUCCUAUUUAGAAGGAAAGCCCAGGGGAAAGCAGUGGCUUUACCUAUCUGGUUUAUAGGUGCAUGGCAGCACCUCAGCUAUACCAGGCUCUGAUGGUUUCUGAAUGAAUGAUGGGCAGUUUUCUGUUUGGCACUCUGUGUGAACAUUUCAAAUCCUAGUUUUAACUCUGUCUUGGGGUUUUAUUGCUCUGAAGAGACGCCAUGACCAAGGCAAUUUGUAUAACGGUAAACAUGUCAUUGGGUAUGGCUUACAGUUUCAGAGGUUCAAUCCAUUAUCAUCACGGUGAGAAGCAUGGCAAUGUGCAGGCAGACUUGGUGGUAGGGAGUCAAGAGUUCUACGCCUUGAUCAGAGGGCAGCCAAGAGAAAGCAGACUCUUGUGCAGGUAGCCAGGAGGGGGCUCUUUUUAACACUGGGUGGCGCCUGAGCUUAGAACCUCAAAAUCCAACCCCACAAUCUUGAAUUUCCCUUCACAAGAACAUACCUACUAUACCAAGACCACACCUCUAAAUAGUGCCACUUUUCAUGGGCCAAGCAUAUGCAAACCACAGAUUUAACUGAUCAUGUUUUCUGCAUGAUGGAUAACUGAUCUUUCACCUCCCUAGUGACAGUAUAGACAAAGGAUUCUUUUGUAAGUUAGACUAGGGAAGCUCAGUUAAAGUAGCUGUGAUCACCCCUUUAGCUUGUUGGCUUGAUUUUUUUCUUUUGUCUUACAUUUUUAUGUCAAGAAAAAAAAACAGAAGACAAUUAUUGCAAGCACAAAGUCAAGAAUAAUCUGGAAUACUUAAAAUGAUUGGAGGACUUAUUGUUGCUAAAGUAACUUGUCAUCUCUGGCAAAGAAUUGACAUUAAACACUGCCAUUUAUAAAAUGGUUUUAUGUACAGAGUAAUUUAUAGUAAAAUUCACAGUAUUUAAAGUAAGAUAAGUAUGUUCAAAAGGAAUAGACCUGAAAAUCCCUAAGUAAAAUUGAAUUUGAAAAAUAUCAG